ensembl:snoRNA SNORA75 Small nucleolar RNA SNORA75
AUCUUCUCAUUGAGCUCCUUUCUGUCAACUGGUGGCAGAUUAUGGAUUCGCACGAGAAGAAGAGAGAGUUCACAGAACUAGCAUUACCUUACCUUCUGUUUUUACAGAGGUAUGUUUGGCUAUUGUGUGAGACAUUC